ACCCGGUCUCGUCAGAUCAUCGAAGUUAAGCAACAUUGGGUCAAGUUAGUACUUGGAUGGGUGACCGCCUGGGAAUACUUGAUGCUGUAGGUAA
rnacentral:rRNA from 1 species